UGGCGGUGGAGGGAGGGAUAAGGGGUCAGACUGCAAUAGAACUGGCGUCUGAUUCCGAGGCAGAAUAAGAAUUAUGAUUUCAUCAGUCCUGCAUGAUGAAGCGCCGAAGGAAGGAAAGAAGACCGAAAACCAGUGGCCGGCCAACAAUCCAUCACUUUUCUGCCAAUUUUGGCUGUAUUUUAUAAAAUAAAAUCUUGUCUUGUGCCAUGCAUAA